GACGAACCACACAAACGUUAUUCGGAAUCACUGGGCUUAAAGGGUGCGUAGGCUGCGCGGAAAGUUGGGUGUGAAAUCCCCUGGCUCAACCAGGGAAUAGCGCCCAAAACUACCGUGCUCGAGGGAGACAGAGGUGAGCGGAACUUCGGGUGGAGCGGUGAAAUGCGUUGAUAUCCGAAGGAACACCGGUGGCGAAAGCGGCUCACUGGGUCUCUUCUGACGCUGAGGCACGAAAGCUAGGGGAGCAAACGGG
rnacentral:misc_RNA from 1 species